GAUGAAGAACGUAGCGAAAUGCGAUAAGUAAUGUGAAUUGCAGAAUUCAGUGAAUCAUCGAAUCUUUGAACGCACAUUGCGCCCGCCAAUAUUCUGGCGGGCAUGCCUGUUCGAGCGUCAUUUCAACCCUCAGGCCCCCAGUGCCUGGUGUUGGGGAUCGGCAGCAGGGCGUCAAGCCCGCCGGCCCCGAAAUCUAGUGGCGGUCUCGCUGUAGUCCUCCUCUGCGUAGUAGCACAACCUCGCAGUUGGAACGCGGCGGUGGCCAUGCCGUUAAACACCCCACUUCUGAAAGUUGACCUCGGAUCAGGUAGGAAUACCCGCUGAACUUAAGCAUAUCAAUAAGCGGAGGA
rnacentral:misc_RNA from 1 species